UACGUAGGUGGCAAGCGUUGUCCGGAUUUACUGGGCGUAAAGAGCGCGCAGGCGGUCGUCCAAGUCGCGUGUGAAAGCCCCCGGCUCAACUGGGGAGGGUCACGCGAUACUGGUCGACUCGAAGGCAGGAGAGGGUAGUGGAAUUCCAGGUGUAGCGGUGAAAUGCGUAGAUAUCUGGAGGAACACCGGUGGCGAAGGCGGCAUCCUGGACCGAGAUUGACGCUGAGGCGCGAAAGCCAGGGGAGCAAACGGG
rnacentral:rRNA from 1 species